rnacentral:misc_RNA from 1 species
GAUGAAGAACGCAGCAAAAUGCGAUAAGUAAUGUGAAUUGCAGAAUUCAGUGAAUCAUCGAAUCUUUGAACGCACAUUGCGCCCGCUGGUAUUCCGGCGGGCAUGCCUGUUCGAGCGUCAUUUCAACCCUCAAGCCCCCGGGUUUGGUGUUGGGGAUCGGCUCUGCCUUCUGGCGGCGCCGCCCCCGAAAUACAUUGGCGGUCUCGCUGCAGCCUCCAUUGCGUAGUAGCUAACACCUCGCAACUGGAACGCGGCGCGGCCAUGCCGUAAAACCCCAACUUCUGAAUGUUGACCUCGGAUCAGGUAGGAAUACCCGCUGAACUUAAGCAUAUCAAUAAGCGGAGGA